GCAAGUCGAGCGGUAACAGAAAUUAGCUUGCUAAUUUGCUGACGAGCGGCGGACGGGUGAGUAAUGCCUAGGAAAUUGCCCUGAUGUGGGGGAUAACCAUUGGAAACGAUGGCUAAUACCGCAUAAAGCCUUCGGGCCAAAGAGGGGGACCUUCGGGCCUCUCGCGUCAGGAUAUGCCUAGGUGGGAUUAGCUAGUUGGUGAGGUAAUGGCUCACCAAGGCGACGAUCCCUAGCUGGUCUGAGAGGAUGAUC
rnacentral:rRNA from 1 species